GACGAACGCUGGCGGCGUGCUUAACACAUGCAAGUCGAGCGGUAAGGCCCUUUCGGGGGUACACGAGCGGCGAACGGGUGAGUAACACGUGGGUGACCUGCCCUCAGCUCUGGGAUAAGCCCGGGAAACUGGGUCUAAUACCGGAUAUGACUCCAUGACGCAUGUUGUGGGGUGGAAAGCCUUGUGCGGCUGAGGAUGGGCCCGCGGCCUAUCAGCUUGUUGGUGGGGUGAUGGCCUACCAAGGCGACGACGGGUAGCCGGCCUGAGAGGGCGACCGGCCACACUGGGACUGAGACACGGCCCAGACUCCUACGGGAGGCAGCAGUGGGGAAGUCUUGCGCAAUGGGCGAAAGCCUGACGCAGCGACGCCGCGUGAGGGAUGACGGCCU
rnacentral:rRNA from 1 species